rnacentral:lncRNA from 1 species
GGACCCUGACUGCAGGAGUCAGGCCUCUCAGCCCAGGGCAGAUGCUGCCUUUAUCUUCUAUCAUUUGUAUGACGUGGCUGGAUGGAGUUUCUUUUGUAAGGUGCACAACACAUUCUUGACAAAUGUGAGUCUCCUGAUCAAUUUAAAUGUUUGAGAUUGAAUAUCUAAUUAAUAAUUCAAUUUUGAAAAUUCUCAAAAAAAUUUGAGGAUUUAAGCCUAGGGAUUUUAUUUUUAUAAAUACCAAAUCAUCAUUAGACUAAUCACUGGUGGAAAUUAAAUAUGGCAGUUAUGUUAGGUUUCCUAAUAUUUCAAAGGUUCCAAAGGAUCUAGAGCUCUCUAGUUACAUAGCAUUCAUAUAGGAAUGAGCAGAGACAUCUGAGAAGAGUGGGAGCUCAUGGGUGACAGUAAAACUUAGGUGUCUCAGAACUUAACAUUUAGUAAAGUGAUGUAGAUCCAAUGUCAGGAAAGGAAGGACUGUGUUACUGUGCCUCCUCUGACUCAUGUGCUUUUCAGCAUAAUAGACUUAUUUAAUAUUAAUUCCUAAACUUUGCACUGUCAAUCCUCUGCUGAGUUGUGGGAGGCAGACCUCAGUUUGCUUGUUUUUUGUGAAAGCUAACUUUAUGAUUUCAAGCACACUUUCUACAUGAGAAACCCCUAAUGUGUGUCCAUAUGAUCUUUCUGUACAUUCUAUUCUCUUACAAAUCUGUGCAUCAGGAAAAUAUGCAUACUUUCAAAUAGAACAGAGGUAUUUGCAACCUGAAAAACCACUUUUAAUAAGAGCUGUAUGAUAAAUUGUUGAAAUGCAAGUGUAAAUAUUUUUUAUGUUAAUCCAGUUUCCUAUUAGAAAGUGUGUCUUUGCUAUUUCCUCUGUAAGAGAAUAGAAUGGCCUUGAGAGUUUAUGAAGGAUUUGCACACUCGUCUUGCCUAGGAAGUGCAAUCUCCUUGUGACUGGAGCACACUGGCAGCCUUCAGGUGUCAUAAUCAUACAUCCCAGAGAAGAGCAGUCACCUGCUGUCACUAGUGCAUGGGAAGACAGAUGCACAGAAGAGCCAGGUAGCACCUGAAAACGCUGCACGUGUGUUUGUGAAACCUGUAGUGAAGUAGACUUGGCCGUCCCUGGACAGUGAGGUCAGAUGUGAAUACAUAUUGUAAGAGCACGUUGAAUAGUGUGCAUUACUGUGGGGAAACACCGAAACUGCUGUUGUUUUUCAUUUCUACUGUAUUUUAGUUGCAGCCUAUUUUUAAUAAACUUUGUAUCUAUUUAAGUGUAUUUGCUAUUGUUUUCAAAGUGCUGACAAAGUUUAUAUUUGUAAUGCCAGCAUUCCUCUUCCCCAUUUCCAGCUGUCACUCCUUCAUUAAACUGCUGAGUCAU